UUCCCACUCUUCUUUGUCUUUUCCCCCCAUUCAUCUCGCUCCAAACCCUCGUCCCCUGCUCUUCCCCAAUGCCGCUCUCGGGUUCCAAGAUCACCUCUCGCUCCUCCUCUGUCCCCGCUUAUCGGCGAAACCCCCAUUUUCACGGCCGCCGCGGUAGAUCCAGCACGAGGAGCGCUCCGGUUGGUGGUUGUCGCAAUAGCUCCAGCGAGGGGAGCAAUAGCCGAGAUCUUCGAUCAAGUGAUCGAGAAGAAGUUUUCAGACAGUCACGUUCGUAUCUUCCUUAUUUUCUUUUCUGUUUUGGUUGCACUGGAGCUUUGUGAUCCCGCUUUUGUACUAAAGAUUUUAGGGAAUCCUCUUUCUUGGAUCUUCAAAAAAUUGAGUAUCCCUGAUUAGAAGAAAUAAUAGUUGAUCGCCUGAGGAAGGAUCCUAUAUUCGUGUAGGCUUAUGGUAAUAUAGUUCUUGAUUCCUUCAGGGUCGGUUGGAGAGCUUCUAUAUUAAUAUGAUUUCAUAGAAGUUCAGAUUAAGUUUUAUUAAUCUGAACAAACAGCCCCUAUUAAUAUGAUUUCGUAGAAGUUUCGAUUAGAUAUGAUUAAUCUGAACAAAUAGCUUCAAAAAGCACAUGCCGGUACGAAGCUGUCAGUUAACAAGCAACAAGCAGUGGAUUCCGAUAAGGAGUUCAUCUCUGUUCUUUAUUUUUAGUGUUAAUUGAGAAUGGGAAAUAAGUAUAUGUACAGUGGAAAAGAGAGAUACAGGAGAUGGAUGAGAGAGACAAGAGGAGUAAUAGGGAAAAAUGAAGAGAUAAAGAGGUACAUAGAAGGAAAGUGGAUGACAGAGAGAGAAAAAGGGUAGAAGGGGGUAUAAAAAUUUUUGCUGAGCUUCUUGCGGAAAAAAAAUAGAGGAACUUGUUUGGACGAUUGUCACAUAAAUAUAGAUUACUAUCUCGACUGUCCAAGUAGAUUGAAGGUCGAAUUGAUUAAUUUUUAAAUGGAUUUAUAUAAAUGCAUGAGUAUAUGUAUAUGUGUGUGUUUGUGUGAAAGUGGCUGUAUGUGUAUGUGUGUCUAUGUGCAAGUGGCCGUAUAUAUUUGUGUAUAUGAUAUAGCUAAUUUUAGUUGUUGCAUGCAGAUUAAUUUCAGAUUUAGUAAUUGUGAUUGUUUCAGCUAUCAUCAACGAUAUUACCUUUUCCUGCCUGGGACAGCCAGUGUGAGUAGUCAUAAUUAUUGUUUAGCCAUAACUUAUUGAUUGUAAACUGCCUCAAUAUAUUUUUCUUCAGUAGACCUUUUUGCUCACCGUACAAUUCCAUGUAUAAGAUCACUGUUGGUUAUCUUCUUACUGAAUCUUUCAUUGGAACCAGUUGGAGCAUGUGAUUUACUAGUAAAAUAGUGCAGAUAACUCCAGCAAGUUACCAUGUUCUUUUUCUUUUCUGUGUUGUUUCUACUCAUGUUUCUUCAACAGGAUGCUUUUUAUGUGGUUUAUAAAAUGCCUCAACUAAGUUAUAGUUGUUUCGACCUUUAAAUAUGUGGAUAUGUCUGGCAGAGACCUUGUGUCUCCUGGAACUGAACAAUCAACAUGUUGAACAAACAAUAAAAACAGCAGUAUACCUAUAGGAAGGCAAAUGAUGUCCAAUUCCAUAAAAUUUUCUUCACUAUUCUUGCAUGAUUACAUAUUUGACAAUUAAUUUUAUGACCGUUUCCGUUAAUUGUUGCAGCACACUUUUUUCUUGAACUGGAAAUCAAGUAUCAUCCGUGUUUCUAUUAUACAAACAAAUGGAACUUCUGGCUUUGAAAUAUUUGGUUGUGUUGAAAAAGUUGGUCAUAAAAGCUGGAAAUGUUUGUUGAGUUCAAGCCAUUACUUCAGGUAUAUCAAACUGGACUUUCAAUAGCAUAAAUGCCUAGAAACAAAAGCGUUACAUGGGAUAACAUGUUGUAAGCAUAUUUGACCAUGUUGCUGGGUUAAUGUGUUGCUGGGGUUUUGCAUUAUGCAUUCACAAGGACCAACCGUUUUCCAUAUGUAACAGUGGGCAUGAGACAGGCAUAUAAUUGGCAUGGACAUCGCAUAGCCCCUUCGCCAUGGAAGGUAUCUUAAUGAUAAGCGGUCUCAUACAAGCUUUACCUUAUUUUCUUCAGCUGUGGCGGUAACUUUUCGAUGAUGUAUGGUCACUUGAUUUUGGAUCUCUGCAACCAGGAGGAGACUAUUGCACAAUUUAGUGUCGUGUUUCUCCUUUCUGCGCUGUGUCCAGAGAUUUCCUGUACUAAGCUAUGUGGUGGAAAAUCGUCAGAAGGCAUAAUUAUUGGUUCUUUCUUAUCUAUGUCAUAGGCAGCAGUGGCAUUAAAAUUUUAAGUGGGAAACAACAUCACAAAUUCCUACAUGGCCAAGUGAUAAAUGGUGCACUCCGGCAACAGGAGGUGGGAAACCUUGGCAAUGUUGGCGGGAAAGAUUUGUUUCGUAAUUUGUAUCUCAUCACCCCAACCACUCUCUUUACGUGGAAGAAGAGUUGGAAACAAAUGGGAGAAGGACGGCGCUCUUUGGUCUGGCCCUUCGAUUCCGUCCCAUGGCAUCAACGAGCGAGAAGAGCCCCACGGAGCGAAAUCCGCCGCCGCCUCCUGCACUCGUCCCACCAAUUCGAAACCCUUACUUGGAUCUCGUCUCCUUCUUCUCCCGAAGGCGAAGACGGGACGGACCGUGGUGAUGGAAGUCGCGGCGGGAGAAGGGGAAGGAGACUGCCUUCUCUGAAAAAUGUUUCGGCAGUUGUUUCACGAAGUCAGAGCACCAGUUUCAGCCUACAUGCGGCAGCCAAGAAUCCAAGGUCAUUCUGCCUAAAGAGGAACACAACGGACCUACAAGACUUCCUUGAAAGGAGAAUUCCUUUCCACGGAUAUAGUUACCCUGCAGCGCCACCCUCCUGACUGUCUGAUUCUGAUCCAAGAACUUAACAUGGCUUGGUUGAGCUUCGCUACAGGUUUCUCCAUACAAACUAUGGUAUGCAUACUGUGAUGAAACGAAAUAUAAGUUUGGAUCACCUGUACGUGAGUGUAUUCUCACUCAAAUAUUUCUCCAUCAUCACCAUCUAAAAAUUAGUUGCAUGUCACUAGACCUUUCUCCAUCAUAAGUGUUUGAUUCAGUAUAUUUUUUCUGAUGAUUCUCAAAAUUAUGUACAUGCGAACUGUUCUUGAAAUUCCAGUUUUCUGACUGUGGACAUUUGACCACAAUUAAUGCAUUUCAGAAUGGAUUUGUGACUA